rnacentral:rRNA from 1 species
GAGUUUGAACCUGGCUCAGGAUGAACGCUAGCGACAGGCUUAACACAUGCAAGUCGAGGGGCAGCAGGGGCGUAGCAAUACGCCUGCUGGCGACCGGCGCACGGGUGAGUAACACGUAUGAAACCUGCCCGUAGCAGGGGGAUAAGCGGAAGAAAUUCCGUCUAAUACCGCGUAACAACCGUCAGGGGCAUCCCCGAUGGUUUAAAGGAGUGAUCCGGCUACGGAUGGUCAUGCGUCGCAUUAGCUAGUCGGCGGGGUAACGGCCCACCGAGGCGACGAUGCGUAGGGGUUCUGAGAGGAAGGUCCCCCACACUGGUACUGAGACACGGACCAGACUCCUACGGGAGGCAGCAGUGAGGAAUAUUGGUCAAUGGCCGGAAGGCUGAACCAGCCAAGUCGCGUGAGGGAAGACGGCCCUAUGGGUUGUAAACCUCUUUUGUCGGGGAGCAAAGGCCGCCACGUGUGGCGGAUUGAGAGUACCCGAAGAAAAAGCAUCGGCUAACUCCGUGCCAGCAGCCGCGGUAAUACGGAGGAUGCGAGCGUUAUCCGGAUUUAUUGGGUUUAAAGGGUGCGCAGGCGGGAUGUCAAGUCAGCGGUCAAAUCGAGGGGCUCAACCCCUUUCCGCCGUUGAAACUGGCGUCCUAGAGUGGGCGAGAAGUACGCGGAAUGCGUGGUGUAGCGGUGAAAUGCAUAGAUAUCACGCAGAACUCCGAUUGCGAAGGCAGCGUACCGGC